UGGGGAAUUUUGGACAAUGGGCGAAAGCCUGAUCCAGCAAUGCCGCGUGUGUGAAGAAGGCCUUCGGGUUGUAAAGCACUUUUGUCCGGAAAGAAAUCCUUGGCUCUAAUACAGUCGGGGGAUGACGGUACCGGAAGAAUAAGCACCGGCUAACUACGUGCCAGCAGCCGCGGUAAUACGUAGGGUGCAAGCGUUAAUCGGAAUUACUGGGCGUAAAGCGUGCGCAGGCGGUUUGCUAAGACCGAUGUGAAAUCCCCGGGCUCAACCUGGGAACUGCAUUGGUGACUGGCAGGCUAGANUAUGGCAGGAGGGGGGUAGAAUUCCACGUGUAGCAGUGAAAUGCGUAGAGAUGUGGAGGAAUACGAUGGCGAAGGCAGCCCCCUGGGCCAAUACUGACGCUCAUGCACGAAAGCGUGGGGAGCAAACAGGAUUAGAUACCCUGGUAGUCCACGCCCUAAACGAUGUCAACUAGUUGUUGGGGAUUCAUUUCCUUAGUAACGUAGCUAACGCGUGAAGUUGACCGUCUGGGGAGUACGGUCGCAAGAUUAAAACUCAAAUGAAUUGACGGGGUCAUAGCUGUUUCCU
rnacentral:rRNA from 1 species